rnacentral:rRNA from 1 species
ACCGCGGUUAAACCAAGAUGAUUGAGUUAUACAUAUUUGGUCAAAAGACAGUUAGGCAGCUUAUGAAGUUUGUUUAAUUAUUAUUAGGAAGUAAAAUUCGCAAAUAAACUAGAAGUCUAGUUGUAGCUAAAAGGCUGAAGCUGUGACAUCCUCGAGGGAAACUGGGAUUAGAUACCCCACUAUUCUUGGAGAUAAAAUAGCUUAAACGCUUAUCAGAGUACUACGGAUUUAUUUCGUUUAAAACUCAAAGAGCUUGGCGGUGUUUUAGACUCUUCAGGGGAACCUGUCUCAUAAUCGACAAUCCACGUUAUAUCUUACCUUUAUUUGCUAUCAGUUUGUAUACCGUCGUCGUCAGGUAACUUUUUAGAAAAAAGAAGUUAGCAAAAGAACUAUUAAUAAUUUUUUACGUCAGAUCAAGGUGCAGCUCACAUAAAGGAGAGGAUGGGUUACAAUUAUUAAAUUUAUAAUUACGGAGUAAUAGUUAAGAAGAUUAUCACGAAGGAGGACUUGAAAGUAAAAUAAAUUACAUAAGUAUAUUGAAUUGAGCUCUGAAACGUGCACACAUCGCCC